rnacentral:misc_RNA from 1 species
CUGAGUGAGGGAGCGAUCCCGACCUCCAACCCUAUGUGAACCCCUCUCGUUGCUUUGGGGGCGACCCUGCCGUCCGCGGCAUUCCCCCCAGAGGUCAUUCAACACUGCAUCCUUACGUCGGAGCACAAAGUUAAUGAAAUA